AAAACCUCGUUAUGACUGCCAUAAAGACGUCAGUUAUUUCGGAUUUUCAUCUCACAUUUCAUUGUGAGAGAUAGUUUGUUGCCUCGCUUCUGUGGAUGAUGCGGGAUCACAAUUCAGCACCUGGACAGCUCCUGGUUAACCUAUUACUGGGCACAUGGAGUCCCUAGCGUGAUUGUAGGGAAACCCUGUGAGCAGGCGAGAUUUGGGCACUAAAAUGCCCUCCUUCCGAAAGAUGACGUUUAACUGAAUAUGUGGAUAGUGGUGGACAUUUAAAAGCAUCUCCGUGAAUGAUGAUGCUUACAAUAAGGAUCGGGCUUUUUCGUUGUGCCCUGUAUUCUAAGCAGCAGCACGGGUCGUUAGCCAAUCCAAAUCUGAAGAGGAUAGCAGCAGCCUACACACAGCAACCGAGCCUCGCUCACAGUGAUCAUCGGCAAGGGAGACAUUACCAUCAUCAUUAGGAGGGCAUGAGUCACGACCAUACUUUCAACAAUGUAGAGCAUAAAAGGUGUGGUGUGAGCCAAGUCUCUAUUCUCUGGUUAAAUCAAGAGUAACAAUCGUGUCGACGUCCAUUCACAGAAACAACACAGCAACAUGAGCAACCCCCAGGCCCCUCCCCAGGCCCAGGCCAGAGCCUCAGAGCUGGAGGUGAUCUCCCAGCAGGUGGAGGAGGACAACCAGUGUCACGCUCCGGUCCAGGUGGUCAGCUUUGCAUACAGAGACCUGCCUCUGGCCGCGCUGGACAUCUCCCUGGCCGGAUCCCAGCUCAUCUCCAACCUGGA